AAGUAAUAGGGAUAAUAGUUGUUGAUGUGUCCUGACCCUGUCCUGUCUUUGUUUAAUUUGUGUUUAAUGAUCAGAGGUCCGCUUGAGACUGCUUCAUAUUUUCGAUGCUCUUAAACGUGACGUGGCUUUCCCCUUCAACCGGAAGUAAGCGACUGAUUUGCCUGUUUGAUGCUGAGCAGCUGAAGUAUCGCUUGAACCAAGAGUAAAAGCUCCAUUUUAAGGCAUAAUAAUGGUGACGGACGUGCAACUGGCCAUAUUUGCCAACAUGCUUGGCGUGUCAUUGUUCCUGCUGGUUGUGUUGUACCACUAUGUUGCUGUCAAUAACCCCAAGAAGUUGGAGUAGAGUCCCUCCAGAAUGAUUGGAGAGGCGAGAUGGGGGUCAAUGCUACCACCAAGGAAACAACAUUCUAUACAUCCAGUCCCAGGAGAUGAAUUUAUUUGUAUGAUUGCACAGUAGUGUUUUUUUCUAAUAAAAAUGUGUGAAUGCCAUUUGCCUAAA